rnacentral:lncRNA from 1 species
UCUCCUCCACCCCCACCGGCGGCGGCGGCGGCUUUGACUAGGGUUUCCCACCUCGCUCCUCCUGUGAUGCGUUUAGUUUUUUCCCAAGUUUUUUCCCCCCUCCUUCCUUCCUAGUCCGCAGCCUCUAGAUGGCUCGCCUCAGUGGUGCCUCGUCGUCGUCGUCUCCUCCUCCUCCUCCUCGCGUGGAGCGAGCGAGCGGUCGGUCGGUGAGCGUGACGACUGCUUCCUUCUUCUCUUCUCGGAGAGAGAGAGAAGGGGGGAAGGAGAGGAGGAGGGGGUGGGUGUGAGGCGAGGAGGCUGAGGGGUGGGGGCUCUAUUUAUAGCCUCAGUAGAAGAGGCUUCGAGCCCGCCCGCUACGCGCACCCGGUCCGCGCCCCGCCCCGCCUCCGCUCUCACCGCCAGGUGGGCCCUCCUCGUGGUGGGGUCCAGCUGUCGGGGGUGCGCAACGCGUGUGUCCUCGUGCGCGCGGGGGAGGCGUGACGCAUUAGGGGGGGCGUGUCCGCAGCGCGGUGCCGGUGCGGUCGCACCAGGUUGGAAUUUUAUUUGUUUUUUUUCCUUCCUCUGCUCCUCUCUUUUUUUUUUACUAUUUUUUUUCUCACCUCCGCUUCUGAACUGGAGUAGGAGUACUAUUAGGAGAGAAAUAGCAAUUGGAUUUAUUUUAAAUGGAUGGAAGAAGUACGACCACUUUUAACGCGUGUGUCCUCGUGCGCGCGGGUAUUAUUAUUAUUAAAUAAAUAAAUAAAUAAACUAACAGGAGCCAGGAGCGAGGGGGAUCGGACUAAAGAAUCUCACUCCGUUGUUCUUCUUUUCUCUAAUUAAGGUAUCCCAAAUUAAUUCUUGCUUGAAAAAUGGAUGGAUGGAUCUGGUGGCACGGCUAUUUAUUAUGGAUGGCUGAACUAAGGCUGGGGCUAUGGGGGGAUAGGAUAAUGCUGAUCUUGUGGAUUGGAGUUAUCUUCUUUUAGUUUAGGAUGAUUUAAAUGAUGUUAUUGUGAUUCUUGGUUGAGAAGAUAUUUUGAUGGUCCGACCAGUCGAUCGUAAAUAAUGUGUUAUGAAUUCGCGUGAUGUUACCAAAAUGGUUACGCAUGUUAUUCAAAUACUUCUAAGAUUAACAAACAAUUAACAAUAACAGAUAAAGUUUUGAGCAAAUAUUUAAUUGUUUUCACUAAAAGUUAAAAACAUGUGAACCUGUCUUCCAUGGAAAGAUAUGGAACACAGCAAUAGGAGGGGGAAAAUGUGUGAUAAUAUAAUGUUAGGGAAUGUUAUAAAUCUAGGAUCACGUGAUGCCUUUUGGAUUAUGAUGGAUGCUUCUUGGAAUUUUGGCCCAAGAGCAUUAGAGGCGACAAGCAUGCAGCUAAGAAAAUGCAUAUAACAGCUUUUUGCAUACUUAGAAUUUCUAUUUACAAUAUAAUUUUGUGUUGUGCCAUAACAAAAUGUGUACAUAUGUUCAGUUCUAGAUACAAAUAUUUAUUUGUCACGUACACUAAAUUCUCUCACGAAAAAUCUAGCGAGAAUAUAUUGUGUCUCCACAUCAGCGUCACAUAUACCAUUUAACCACAACAAUUUAUACAAUGUUCCUCUGUAACCAUCGUUGCCGCCGCCACACCACCACUGUCUCCUUUUGCUCUAGCCAUCAUCCAUGGUCCUCUAUGUCCCUGUCUUAGAUCAUACGUCUUUUCAUGCCACGACCUUUCUUUUUCUUCUCUUGAUCCAUAACUAGCACCUCCAAUCUAAUUAUGGUGUCAAAGGUUGGCCAUGCUUUUGCCUCAUCUUUCUAUCCCUCAGGAGAUCAAGAUCAAAGUUGUCAUGUUGGAUGUACAGCCAAUCAAUUAUGGUAUCCUUUCUCUCUCAAAAAUGUUUGUCUGGUUUAUGUAAAUAUUAAAACUACUAGGGUCAUAUGCAAAAAGGUGAGUGAAAAUGAGAGGGGUAUCCAUGUAAAAGCUGCAUAGUUGGAGUUCGAUCUCCCCACACCCACCUUUGACCUGACGCAAGUGUGGUGCGAACUCAGAAAAAAAGAGAAAAAAAUAGAGGAAUAGUGGAGUGGACAGUCUCCUCAUCGCCACGCGCACGUAACUGAUGGGUUGGACCAUCACGGUGGGGCCACGUUGUCAGUGUCAUGCUCACGUGUCGAAAGCCUAGGCCGCACGGGAGAAGGGGGGCGUGAUUUGCACCCAAGGAGGCGAGAACUCACCCACUGACAUGUGGGCCCCAGCUUUGUCGUCGGUGUUUAUAUGGGUGGUACUAGCUUUUUUUCCCAUGCAUAAAUCAAAACACACACAAAAGAAGCAUGAGUUAAAAGUGAGCGCCGAUCAGAUUAGGAGUCCAUCUCAGUGACGUGUGUAUUGGCCAUGAAAAGAUAUCGAGUCCACAUGUCAGUGAGGUUACACAUGAGACUGGUGGGUGAGGAAUUGUUUGGAUCUGGAAGGACGGAAAAGGGUGGGGCUCACUGGACCUGAUUUGGAAUUCCCAAGCUCCUUUGGUCUUUGGAAGUGUGUUUCUGGAUGUGUCUACACUUGGCAGCAGGAGUUGGAGAAAGGAGUGCAAACCAUCAUUUCCUUAAUCCUUUACUUUCUUUCAUCAAUUAAAGAAGAGAAGGAACUUAAUACAUAAGACACUUAUCGACAUGAUACUCCAAGGUUAUUGUUUUGCCUUCAGCUUAAAAGUAAAAGCGAAAAUUAAAAUUUUAAAGUUAGUUUUGGGGUUUUUUAUUGUGCUUUAUUUUACAAUAUUUUUUUAAAUAACUAACAACAUGAAUAUAAAAGUUUUACCCAUCAAUUAUUUUUAAGUGUCAGUAAACCGUUUACCCAUCAAAGGAGCACUUAAUGUUUGCAAUGAAAACUGAUCAAACACCACGAAAUUUCGACAUUCCAGCACGGGAUGAAAAGAGGACCCCACGGGAAAUUUCAAAUGGAUGGACAAUUGCAAAGCAAAACAAAACAUGGGAUGAGAUGACAGCUGGGAUAUAUCAUAAUAGAUGUGAUGUGAAUAGCUUGCACAUCUGAAUGAAAUGUUGCAAGCCUUUAUGAUGGAGUGCUGCUACUGUAUAUACAUUUCCUGCAAGCUAGCAUUGCAGCAGGGGAUGGUUGCAUGCUACUGUUUGUUAUGUCUUUUUGGCACUUGUGUUUUCCUUUUCGGUAUGGUUUGGCAGGCUUGUACUCUGAUGGUUUGGUUCUCAAUUGGAUUUAUCAGGAUAUUCUGAACAAGACUGUUACAAACUGAGAAAAGUUGAGCUGUAAAAUCAUGAUAAUGUUUGGCCAAUGCUUUCGAGGUCGCACAAGUCAUGAGGACAUCCGUUUGACCUAAUUAACUAAACAUUCUAUUCUGAAUUUGAACUCAUUGCUACAUUAGAUUUGGGGGUCAUCUUUUCACUUUUUCAAUGAAAACACCAAACAACAUAUUUGCAUAUAUAUAUAUAUAUAUAUAUAUAUAUAUAUAUAUAUAUAUAUAUAUAUAUAUAUAUAUAUAUAUAUAUAUAUAUAUAUAUAUAUAUAUAUAUAUAUAUAUAUAUAUAUAUAUAUAUAUAUAUAUAUAUAUAUAUAUAUAUAUAUAUAAUGCAUAUUCUUAGCGAUCAAAAAACAAAGGUUUAAAAAUAAAUUACACUAGAAAACCCUCCAAAUUUAAGGCUAAAAAUUUAAAAUUUUGUUUAUAAACAUAAGAAGAAGUGAAAAGACAAAUAUGUUAGCAUUUGCACUGGUGAGUAUUUAAUUUUGGUCAGUCCUUGUGUACAAAACAUGAAAACAGAUGCAGGUUGGCUACUGUUCAAUGACCAUUUGAUAUGUUGAUGCUAAAUCAACAGAAAAUAAUACUUAAACUAAAAAGUGAUGAGUAGAGAAAAUCAAAUCCAUCAGGGUGUACUGGCACUUUCGUCCUAUUAGUAGAAAUUGGGCAAAUUUUAGAAGUAACUGUGGACUGUGGUGGGGUUGGCCUUAAGACUGUCAGCUCAUUGUUAUUUGUUAGUGCCCCUGGACCAUUUAUAUGUUCCCACCUCAACUUUGACGAGACGAAUAAACUGAAAGUUCCAAAAACAAGACAGCCAAAAUAUCUUUAAAAUAGAACAUCAGCAAAACAUAUCAUUUUAAAGAAAAUGUAAAUUAGAAUAAAUAAUAAUAAUAAUAAUAAUAAUAAUAAUAAUAAUAAUAAUAAUAAUAAUAAUAAUAAUAAUAAUAAUAGGAGUUGGAAGUAUGAAGGGAAAUCUGAAUAAGUUGAAAUUGAAAAUGCAGAGGAAAAAAUGCUUACCUCCGACGUGCAUGCCCCAGUCCCCACCUCACCUCCCUAGUGCCGAGCAUGCCGCAUCAUAGCCUUGUUCACUUGCCAUAUCAAUGGCUUGUCCACUUUGUUACCAUUGGAAUUUCGGUACUAUCGAAAUUUAGUAAGAUACUCCCUCCAUUUUAUAAUAUAAGAUGUUUGAUUUUUUUUUCAAUGUUUGACAAUUUGUCUUAUUUAAGAAAUUAUAGAAACAUCAUUUAUUUGCUUGUGACUUACUUUAUUAUCAAAAGAACUUUAAGCAUGACUUGUCAUUUUUUAUAUUUAUACUAAAUUUUUUAAUAAGACGAAUGGUCAAACGUUGUCACUAAAAAAGUCAAACAUCUUAUAUUAUGAAACGGAGGUAGUAACAAACUAAAGGUGAGUUUAAGAGUGAGGGAAGAAGAAGAGAUAGAUGAUCACGCAAAAGGGAGUAUUUUGUUAGUGAAUGAUACUAAGCAUUAACUAUUACAAGUUUGAAAAAUGGGUCAAUAUGAUUUUCAAAACAAUUUUUAGACAGUUUUUAUAAUGAAUUUUAAAGGUUGGAAGUGAGCUUAUGAAAAAUGAGGGGAGUUUUUUUUUCUUUUUUCAUUGGAUCCAUUACAAACUAAUUGUCUCUAAACAUAUAAUCACUAACGCAACCUAUCAUCGAAUAGAGAUUACGCUAUAGUAUUUGAUGACGUAUGGUUCAACCGAUGUUAAGUUAUACGCGAGACAGUAGCAACGAGAAGAAAACACAUGGGUUUUAAUACUAAAGAUACUCAAGAUAAUAGCCCUACUUCUGUCGGUUGUAGCCGGUUUCACCAUUAUAUCAAUCUCACAUUAGUACAACAUAUGAGAAAGAAAUCCUAGUCUAGUCAGCAACUAUAUCUGCAUGGUAGCAUGGGUAUGGUUUUCGGCGUCUAGGUGUGGUCGGGCUUAUCCAAUGCCGAAUUGAUGGGAUUUGUAUUGUAUUGGCUUCUAUUUUUUUCCUCAGGGUCUAUUAAGUUGGAUUGAUCUCUAUUUGCUCCCUAGAGUUUGUUAGCUUGUCUUCUCCUCAUGGGACUUUUAAUAUUUUGCCACUCUUCACCACACCCACUUAACCUCUCUCACAACUACAGUGAGAAGGAAGUGACAAAAGAUUUGCCACUCACCAGGUAAAAGUAGCAAAUAGUUAAAUUUCCCCCUCAUAGAAGUCAUGGUUGUCACUAGUCCAAGUAAAACUAGGCAAACAAGCAUGCAAAGUAUCUAAGUAGUCUUGGUGAAAGUCGGAUAAGACUAUGAAGUCUUUAGGAAAAAUGACUAGGUAGGUAGAACUGUAUCCGGAUUAGACUACCUAUGUUUUCUUUUUCGAGUACAAUUUUCUUCCUGUACUAUAUCCUUUCUUAUCUACUCAAGACUCUAUCCAUAUAUAUGGAACCUUUUUACAUAUAGGAUUAUGUAUAUAUUACUUCUUCUAUUGAGGUAAGUACACGUCUAUGAAUACCCUGUAUAUUUGUAAUGAUGAUAGUAACCCCAAACUCUAAUCAAACUGAAUGGCCAACUAGUACAAUAGUUGCGAUGAGUCAACUCUUCGGAGUAAGGCAAUAGAUUCAUCAUCCAAGUAGCUUAUAUCAACAUCGUUGAUUUAAGCAAAUUGCUAUUGUAUUCUGUUUUGAUAUCGGGAAAAAGUUUAUAAUAAUAUAUCAACAUAGUACCCCCCAAUCUAUUGUGUGUUUCUUAUAAAAUACUUGAAUAAACUUGUUAGCAAACGCCAAAGCCCCUGAGUGUAGUUGGGUAUCUGUCACGCCCAGAAAUUCCUCACACGAAUUUCUGAACUUAAUUGUGUAUUAAAUCCCUGUCCAGGACCAGCCAGGGUACACAAAAAGACAAUGUUGAUUACAUAACCAUCGUCCUUAGAAACAACUGAAAAUUACACUUAUUCUAGCGGAAAUGCAGCGGAAAGAAAAACAAAGAGGUAGACUAGCUCCAGCGGGUACGGCUCCAGUCCACAGGCAACACUUCGACGGCGGAACAGCUCACUCCUGAGAGGCACCUCCAUCGGACUCGACUUCUAGCUCUGGGUUGGGAAAGUUAAGCAAGGCUGAGUACAAACCACCGUACUCAACAAGUAACACGGACAAGGGGGAAAAAGUAAAUGAUGCAUAGGGAUUAACAAGGACAGGCUAGGGUUAGUUGCGAUAAAGCAGCAAUUUAAAUAAAUAACAGAGCUUAAAGAAUAAAGGUAAUUAAAUACAGUGAAGCAUAAAUAGGUAAACAGUUGUAAAACACCACAACACUGUCCAACGUUACACCACGUUGCGACAGGCCCAACCACUACUCAACGUUACACCACGUUGCAGUAGUCCCAAGUGAUACCAGAUUUUACUCAAGUUAUUAGGGUUCACUAAUCACAGUGAAGCUGGGAGUUCGCCCGUAACCGUGGGCACGGCUAUUCGAAUAGUUUAUACUCUGAUCAGAGGUGUACUACUGUACCCACAAGACACGACUCCACUACACUUGAACGUGCGCCGACAUACCACCACGGCAUACCGGAAAGGAGACCGUGAUAGGACCCGUUACACAACCCUCCCUAUUUAAUCGUACCACACUUCAGGUUUCACCCCCUCCUUUACACCAAGUCGGGCAGUCCCCUCUUGUGCCUUGGUAGAUCCGGAAGCAGGAGAAGCUUUCGUUACACCACGAUUGCCCGUCCAUACUCCAUCACGCCUACCCUUGCCACGGUACGUCAAAUAGUUCGAAGUCAUGCUUCAAAUCCCACCUUACCCAUUUCGGCAUGUGGUUAGCACUUAUUUACUUCCAGGGUUUCCCGUGAACCGGUCCUUAAUCGCCAUGGGUGCGACUCUCAAAACCAUGCACCCACAGCCCACCAUUAUCAAUAUUUUAGUUGACAUUAACCCGAACCGGGUAGUGAAUCAUUAUCUCGGCUAUCCAGAAUUAAGCAUAAUUAUAUGUGAUCCCAUGAGCUAUUUGUUCUAAGCAUGGCUAAGCAUUAACCUAGGCCUGACUCUAAUCAAGUUACCCCUGGUCCAGCAAUGAACAAAGUUGGAUAAACAACGGCAUAAUAAUAAGGUUUACCCGAAAAUAGCAUAAAGUAAGUACUUUAAUUAAAACAAUGCAUAUUUGAAAUAAUAAAGCGGGGAAUUUGCAAUAAUGGGUUCAAUAUGUUCAAGGAUGAGUGUCACUUGCCUUGCUCUGGCCCUUGGGGAACUUCGGCGACGAUCUCGAAGUAAACCGGCUCUUCGGCGGGGUCCGAAUCUAAGCGACAAAGCACAAAAAUAAAUAAAACAGGCACAAACUCUACUGAAACAGCAAAAGAAACUAUUUUUAAUGGAUUCUUGAUAAUUUUAUGAAUUUAAUGAAAUUUGAAUGGACCUAAACGGAGACUAGAUGAAUUACUUAUGAAUUUUAGAAGUUUUCUGGGUUUUUUAGCUAAACAGAAAAGUCCUAAAUCAAUUAUUGCGCAAUUAAUGGGGCUGCUGACGUCAGCGAGGAGAGAGGAACUGACGGCUGACAGGUGGGGACCACCUGUCGGUGAGAGAGAGAGGGA